UGUUUCAAAGUUACAGUGUGUGCUAAGAGUUAAAAUAAAGAUGUGUUGUAGAGCUAUGGGGACCCAGAAAGUGGAGCGACACUUUUGCCAAGUGUGGUAAAGCAGGAAAAAGCCCUUACUGACUUGCUUUCAUCGUAAAGCGAAUGCCGCACACCCAGGCAGGGCCUAGAAGUAGCAAGCAAAGAGUAUCUCAAUCCCGAAGGAAGAGAACACAGCUCAUCAGGGGAGCGGAAGAUUACAUGGGCAGGAUUACAAUGUGACGUGACUAUGUUAAAGAAUUUGGAUUUCACCAGAUGCAUGUAGCCAAGUGAAAACCACGGUUCUAUCUACUUUAGAGAUUUGCUGUCCCUGCAGUGUGUCUGGCGCAUUCACACAGCGGGGACAGCUGAGCAGAACCCCAACAGAAAGCUAACGGAGGUUAGCGGAAAGACGGAGACGUGGCUUCCGUUGUAAAGGCUUGUGAGCUCUUUGAAGGGAUAGCGAACUACCUAAAGGUGAAAGCCUAGUAGGAAGACACCGUGAAUGUUUUGCACAAAAUCAUCGCAACCAUUCUGAGAGACCCUGCUACCACAACCUGGUCUCAGAAAGGGGCUGCUAACCUUCAUGCGAGCAUCUAAUAUUGAUGGCAUAUCUUAACUGACUCAGAUGCCAAUAGCUGGGCCCGCUAUGAUGAUGAAUCCCAGGACCGCCUAGAAACCGUGUCUUCUGAAGGCAGACGUUAAAAAGUCGAUCUCGCAAGUAAAUCGGAGAAUGAACAUUCGUGCACACCAGUCCGUUCAUGGAAAAAGAUACAGACGUGGGGCAUUUUGGUUGGCUCUGCCUAAACUAUCAUCUGUUAUAAAGGAUAAUGAAUUCUCAA